UUAAGCUAGAAAGGGCAUACGGUGGAUGCCUAGGCACUAAGAGUCGAAGAAGGACGCGGUAAGCUGCGAAAAGCUGUGAGGAGCUGCAAGCAAGCUGAGAAUCACAGAUAUCCGAAUGGGACAACCCGUCAGUGAUAAUACGCUGACAUCGUAUAUUGAGUCAAGUAGAUAUACGAAGACAACCCGGGGAACUGAAACAUCUAAGUACCCGGAGGAAAAGAAAGCAAAAGCGAUUCCCCCAGUAGCGGCGAGCGAAAAGGGAACAGCCCAAACCGAUUCUUCGGAAUCGGGGUAGAGGACUUCCAAAAAGAAUGGAUGGUUAGCAGAAUGAUCUGGGAAGGUCAGUCGAAGAAGGUAAUAACCCUGUAUGCGAAAGCCAGAAAUUUGGGGAAGGAUCCGGAGUACCACGAAGCACGUGAAAUUUCGUGGGAAGCAGGGGGGACCACCCUCCAAGGCUAAAUACUCCUUAGUGACCGAUAGUGAACAAGUACCGUGAGGGAAAGGUGAAAAGAACCCCGGAAGGGGAGUGAAAAAGAACCUGAAACCGUAUGCUUACAAGCUGUCACAGCACCAUACGAGUGUAGUGGCGUACUUUUUGUAGAACGGACCGGCGAGUUACGAUGUCAAGCGAGGUUAAGAUGAGAAGUCGGAGCCGAAGCGAAAGCGAGUCUGAAGAGGGCGAAAGUUUGACAUAGUAGACCCGAAACCGGGUGAUCUACCCAUGAGCAGGAUGAAGCGUUAGUAAAAUAACGUGGAGGUCCGAACCAGGUAUCGUUGAAAAGAUAUUGGAUGACUUGUGGGUAGGGGUGAAAUUCCAAUCGAACCCGGAGAUAGCUGGUUCUCCUCGAAAUAGCUUUAGGGCUAGCCUUGAAUUAGAUUAUGGGAGGUAGAGCACUGAAUAGGCUAGGGGGCUUCACCGCCUACCGAACCUUAUCAAACUACGAAUGCCGAUAAUUGAUGUUCAGGAGUCAGACUGUGGGGGAUAAGCUUCAUGGUCAAAAGGGAAACAGCCCAGACCGCCGGCUAAGGUCCCAAAGUGUGUGUUAAGUGGAAAAGGAUGUGAAAUCGCUCAGACAACCAGGAUGUUGGCUCAGAAGCAGCCACCAUUAAAAGAGUGCGUAAUAGCUCACUGGUCCAGGGGUUUUGCGCCGAAAAUGUAACGGGGCUCAAACACACCACCGAAGCCGCGGAAUGUUUAAGGACAUUGGUAGAGGAGCGUUCUUAAUGCGACGAAGGCGUACCGAGAGGAGCGUUGGAGCGUUAAGAAGUGAGAAUGCCGGUAUUAGUAUGCGAAAAGGCAGGUGAGAAUCCUGCCCGCCGAAAAUCUAAGGAUUCCUGGGGAAGGCUCGUCCGCCCAGGGUAAGUCGGGACCUAAGGCGAGGCCGAAAGGCGUAGUCGAUGGGAAACUGGUAGAUAUUCCAGUACCAGCGGAGGUCAAUUGAGUGAAGUAGUGAAGCAGAAGGAUAGGGAGAGCGCCCAGUUGGUGAGGCGUUUAAGUAAGUAGGGUGAUGUGCAGGCAAAUCCACACAUCGAGAGCCUGAGAUACGAAUACGAGUGAAAACUAGUAGCGAAGUCCCCGAUUCCCGGCUGCCAAGAAAAGCUGCUAACGAGACCGAAGGUGCCCGUACCGCAAACCGACACAGGUAGAUGGGGUGAGAAACCUAAGGCGCGCGAGAAAACUCUUGUUAAGGAACUCGGCAAAAUGAACCCGUAACUUCGGGAGAAGGGUUGCUCAUUAGUGUGAGUAUCCGUGCGAUACAGAGCACAGAUGAGUCGCAGAGAAAAGGUCCAGGCGACUGUUUAGCAAAAACACAGGUCAUUGCAAAACCGCAAGGUGAAGUAUAAUGGCUGACGCCUGCCCGGUGCUGGAAGGUUAAGGGGAAGAGUGAGAGCUUUGAACCGAAGCCCCAGUAAACGGCGGCCGUAACUAUAACGGUCCUAAGGUAGCGAAAUUCCUUGUCGGGUAAGUUCCGACCCG
rnacentral:rRNA from 1 species